rnacentral:rRNA from 1 species
UACGUAGGGUCCGAGCGUUGUCCGGAAUUAUUGGGCGUAAAGGGCUCGUAGGCGGUUUGUCGCGUCGGGAGUGAAAACACCGGGCUUAACUCGGUGCUUGCUUUCGAUACGGGCAGACUGGAGGUAUGCAGGGGAGAACGGAAUUCCUGGUGUAGCGGUGAAAUGCGCAGAUAUCAGGAGGAACACCGGUGGCGAAGGCGGUUCUCUGGGCAGUUACCUGACGCUGAGGAGCGAAAGUGUGGGGAGCGAACAGG